AUCUCAUCUUUCGCGUUCUUCAUUCACUUUCAUUUGAAUUAACCCAGACUGAGGGUUGUCAUUUUUAGGUUUUCUCAUGGUCUGAAUUUAAAAUAACGGUUCGAUGCCACGUCGGCGGUAGAUAAAGGUUCAAUGACCGACGAUGCUAUGAUUGAACCGAUAUCAAGUUUCGCAUUUUAUAGGAACCUGUGAACUGAUAUGUUUUCGUUCAUUCACAGAGCCGGUUUUUGUGAUUACAUCUUAAUUUUCAAAACUGUUGUUUAAUUGAUUGAAAAAGUUGAAAGCCAGUGAUGAUGUAAAAUAUAAAAUGUUGGAAUUACCGACUGAUUUCAUUUUGAUGAUAACUAGGCUGCCUGAGGCUUUUUACUUUUCAAUCACAGUUUUUUAAUUUGUUCUUUGGUGGGGAAAGUUAUUUCAAAAUUUGAAUUACAGUCUGAUUUCACAGUUUUGAUAAAUCGGCCGUCUGAUUGUUCUGUUACAUUUUGAAGAUAAAAUUAAAAUAACCUUUAGCUCAACCAGGGUGGAAUGGUGGAUGAAACUUGCAGAUUAUGUAUGUAUGUGGAAGAGAGAUGUAGGAAUGGCUACUGUAAUAUAAUUCUAUAUUAGAGCAUAAACGCGUUUUACUAUGUGGAAGAGAGGUGUUCUAAGAAUCAGGUUUUACUUCACCGCACUGUCGUGCCUUUGGGCGAGUGUUCACGAGCUUCGGCCCUAGGUGAGGGUUUUCCCCUGUUCGGAGGCUGAGGCGAGUGUAUCCUGAUGUGGUGAAUUUCGCCAGUAGCACAUUUGGAGGAUUCAUUGGCCAUUCAAAAAAAACUAAUGAUAUACCCCUACUAGAGUGGACUUUUAGGUAGUGUUUGUUUCACGAAAUGGAAUGGAAUUUUGAUGGAAUUGGAAUGUUGAUUUCACUCCUUAUAUUGUUGGUUUCAACAAGAAAAUGAAUUGGAAUUGAACAACAAAAUAAGGAAGUGAAUCUACAUUCCAAUUUCAUCCAAAUUUCUUUCACUUUUGCAAAACAAACAAACCUAAAUUACAAAUCAAAUUUCAAUUUCUAGGAAUUCCCAUUCCAAUUCAUGAAACGAACUCUACAUCACGGGGUGUUUGGGAUUCCUUCUCAAAAACAACUUAUCAACUUAUAUAAGUCAUAAGCUAUAAUUUACAAAUACUAACUUCUCAUUUUUAACUUCUCAACACACAAAAACAACUUGAAUAAGCUAACCCAAAUACUAUAAAAACAUGUUAUUAACUUUUGUAAGUCAGCUUAUUAACACUAUGGAAACUACACUCGGCAUAAAGACUCAGGUGAAAAAGCAAACACUUGGCGUUUGGUUUGUUAAUAAUGGAGAUGGAAAGAGCAUUAGUAAGAGUGUCUUAAGACACCAAUGAGUGUGUUAUUAGUAAGGCGAGACUUAAAAUGAACAAUGGGCAUUUUGGGUGAUUAGAAUAUUCAGGGGAAUGUGAAACUAUUCAUGAAACUCGGAUUGAGUCGGGUUCUGUUAAAUGUUGACCCACAUACUUUAAUAACAGGUUUGAAGCCACGUUGCUGUUAACUAAAGUUGCAAUGCCAUGUCGCUCUUAUUUUUAUUCGUUUCGCAGUUUAUAUAGCUUUGAACUGGUAAAUUUCUCUUCAUUCACAGAGCCGGUUUUUGUGACUACAUUUUUUUAUUAUAGUUCAAACUGUUGUUUAAA